GACAGAGGGUGCAAACGUUGUUCGGAAUUACUGGGCGUAAAGCGCGUGUAGGCGGCCCUGCAAGUCGGAUGUGAAAUCCCACGGCUCAACCGUGGAAGUGCAUUCGAAACUGCAGGGCUAGAGUCCUGGAGAGGAAGGUGGAAUGCUUGGUGUAGAGGUGAAAUUCGUAGAUAUCAAGCGGAACACCGGUGGCGAAGGCGGCCUCUGGACAGUGACUGACGCUGAGACGCGAAAGCGUGGGGAGCAACAGGAUUAAGAAACCCU
rnacentral:rRNA from 1 species